UGGUGGAGUGAUUUGUUUGGUUAAUUCCGUUAACGAACGAGACCUUAACCUGCUAAAUAGUUGUGCCAACUUUGGUUGGCAUCGACUUCUUAGAGGGACUAUGGAUGUUUAAUCCAUGGAAGUUUGAGGCAAUAACA
rnacentral:rRNA from 1 species